GUUCUUCCCGAGUCCAGGAUGACGAUCCGACACCAGGGCCAGCAGUACAGGCCGAGGAUGGCAUUCCUGCCCAAGGCUGCCUCUGGAUCCCUGGGCAGAUGGCGCAGUUUGAAGUCUGGGGCAGAGGCGCGGUUCACCUGUUCACCUGCCCCGGGUCUGAAUCUCAUAAGCAUGGCGCGAACGGACGUUCUCCUCCAGGCAGGCCUCUCUCCCUGUGUGUUUCCCGUUUUGGAGGUCAGAGCAUCAUGGCAAGGAGGCAGAAAACCUUGGACUCACCUUCUGCCCUCACUGAAGCGCGUCCAGUCUUCAAGUCAAGAGAGUCCACUUUUCCAGUGAUUCCAGCGACAGUCCUGUCCUACCCGUCUGUGUAGGAAGCGUCUCUCCCCUCUGUCCUGGUAGUGAGCCUCGCUCUCACCUGUUCAUGCAGUGAGUGUCUCAGUCCCCAUCCUCACCACUUCCACCUGGACUGUUGCCACAACCAGCUCACCAGUCUUCAUCUCUCUCAUUGCUUCAUACCUUCCUUUCUUGCUGCCAUCUUUAAUCUCGCAAAACAAGGCAAACGGUGAUGCUCUUCCCCUUACCAGCUGCCUAGAGAAUGAGCUUGCAGGCCUACUGUGUGCUAGAUCACUUUGCUCUCCCGUGCAUUUUGGACCCCUUUGUGCAUGUCCGUUCCCCAGCAUGUCCGUUCCUUUUCUGUGUGGCAGAGGCCACACACACUCACCAAACGUUCCACCUGCUCUCAAGAACCAACGGACCAUGAGCAGAAGUGACGUGUGUGUGUGUGUGUGUGUGUGUGGCUUCCGGGCUGAAGCCUUGAAGGACAGGUGCAAAUUCUCCAUGGUUUUCUCUCUUCCCCUGCGGAGUGACCGUGAGCAUGUGUGAUGGAAUGGGGAGCCACACACGGGGCAGCCUGGCUUGCUGAGUCAUCAUAUCCACG